rnacentral:lncRNA from 1 species
CAUGGUGAAACCCCGUCUCUACUAAAAAUACAAAAAACUAGCCGGGCGAGGUGGCGGGCGCCUGUAGUCCCAGCUACUCGGAGGCUGAGGCGGGAGAACGGCGUGAACCCGGGAGGCGGAGCUUGCAGUGAGCCGAGAUCGCGCCACCGCACUCCAGCCUGGGCGACACAGCGAGACUCCGUCUCAAAAAAAAAAAAAAAUACAAAAAUUAGCUGGGUGUGGUGGUGGGCGCCUGUAAUCCUGAUACUUGGGAGGCUGAGGCAGGAGAAUUGCUUGAACUUGGGAGGCUGCAGUGAGCUGAGAUUGUGCCACUGCACUCUAGCCUGGGUGACAAGAGUGAAACUCUGUCUCAAAAAAAAAAAAAAAAAAAAAAAAAAGGGCUUACUUAAUACCAGUUUCAGUCACUGAGAGACUGCACAUCAAGUUCUGGGGAACCUGUUAAAAAUACACAGGCUGAGCUGUGGUACAUUUUUGUCACGGUCUCCAGCUAUUGGGAUUCCUUUAUCCCUGCGGGGGAGACCUACUGCCUUGGAAUACCUAGUGUUACUGAUCAGCAGCCAGUGAGGCCUCCCAGAAUAGCCCUCCCAGAGAUACCCCCUCCACAUCCCUGGUUUUCUUCCAAAGAUGGGGCAGGGAGCAGUGAGCUGGGCAGACUAUGGGGACAAUAAGCUACAGUGACAUGGACUUAGAAUGACAGGAGAUAGGUCUAAUAGAAAGAGCAGGGCUUUGAGCUGUGGCGCAGGGGAGCAAGGCACGGGUCUCACUCCUUCUAGCUGUUCCUCAGCCUCGCUAAGCCAGUUUCCUCAUCUGUAAAGGGGGGUGAUACUAAGACCGGUUCCAUCUCCCACAGUGGUUAUGAGCAGCCACUACUUCUACAGACAGAGCUGCAUUUUUGCAAACAUACAGAUGUGUGCAUAUGUGUGUAGAAAUAAGAACAGAGCAAGUGUCCUGUUCUGAAAUUUACUUUUUUCACUUAAUGUUUCUUGGUUAAUUUACCAGGCCGUUAUUCCAUGGCGAUAGCUUGUAAACGGCAAAACUGUUGAAAUGUUAGUUAAUUUAAAUAACUCAGAGAAAACACUACCCUUUGGAGAUGAAGGGCUGUUUUCUCAUUGGGGUGUAAUGUGUGUGUACCCAUGUCUUUGUGUUGAUAGGUUGGAGGAAAGGGAGGGCUUGUGACUGUGCAUGGUACUUCAGCAGCUGGUGACCCAUGGGAUGAAGCCUUUUCUGAUUUUUAGGAAUAUAGAGCCUGGAGUGAAAACAAAUUGAACCAGUUAGGAAGCUUCAUCCCCUAGGGAGUUCUCUCAGAAGCCUCCCAGGAGCCAGCCUGCUUGGUUACUGGCCCUAGGGAGGCUCACACACAGAGUAUGGAGAGCAGGAGACCUAUGUUUACCUCUGGGGUGACACAGAGGGUAUGUUAAGGUAUAUUUAAGCUGCUGUGACAAAGAGGUCCCCCAAUACAUAGACUAACAGGGAUAGGUGUCUAUUCUUUUUCACAUAACAGUUCAGUGUAUAGAUCUCUGUUCUAUAUGUUGUCAUCAUUAAAAGCAUGGACUCCGGAACCAGGUUGCCUGGAAUCAAAUCUUGCCCUUGGUGACCUUAUAGUAAUCACUCAACCUGUGUCUCAGGUUCCUUACCUGUAAACUUGGAAUCACAGUAGUACCUACUUCGUAGGAUUAUUGUGAGGAUCAAGUGAGUUAGGGCCCUCCAAAAUUA